rnacentral:rRNA from 1 species
GCGAUCCGGUGGCGGAUGGGCAUGCGGCGCAUUAGCUAGACGGCGGGGUGACGGCCCACCGUGGCGACGAUGCGUAGGGGUUCUGAGAGGAAGGCCCCCCACACUGGGACUGAGACACGGCCCAGACUCCUACGGGAGGCAGCAGUGAGGAAUAUUGGUCAAUGGGCGGAAGCCUGAACCAGCCAAGUCGCGUGAGGGAUUAAGGCCCUGCGGGUCGUAAACCUCUUUUGCCGGGGAGCAGUGGUCCGGACGCGUCCGGGCCGGGAGAGUACCCGGAGAAAAAGCAUCGGCUAACUCCGUGCCAGCAGCCGCGGUAAUACGGAGGAUGCGAGCGUUAUCCGGAUUUAUUGGGUUUAAAGGGUGCGUAGGCGGGCAUUUAAGCCGGCGGUCAAAUGUCGGGGCUCAACCCCGGCCUGCCGUCGGAACUGGGUGCCUUGAGUGGGCGAGAAGUAUGCGGAAUGCGUGGUGUAGCGGUGAAAUGCAUAGAUAUCACGCAGAACCCCGAUUGCGAAGGCAGCAUACCGGCGCCCUACUGACGCUGAGGCACGAAAGUGCGGGUAUCGAACAGGAUUAGAUACCCUGGUAGUCCGCACAGUAAACGAUGGAUGCUAUCUGUCCGGGCCGAAUGAGGCCUGGGUGGC